CAGAAGCAUCUCUUCUUUUCCUCCUAUCACCAAUAUUUUGAAUUUGACUCCAUUAACGGUCAUAGUUUUAAUGCCCAGAAUUACAUUGGACUAGCACUGUACUUAGAUCAGAACAAAUACAAAAAUCAACACUCCACAAAACUCAUCAGAAGCAUUUACAUGCAUAUUUUCCCUCUCAGUUUCCAAAAACAGUACAACCCUGCUAUGGUUUCUUCACUUUCUUGUCCAACCCCUGGAAAUGAUUUUUCCUUCACGUGUUGUAGAAAUAUUCCAAGCGUUGAAAUUUUCCCAUCAUCACAGUCUCACACUGCAGUAAAACCACUUUUUGUUAGGAUUUACAGAUAAAACUGCACCUGCUAAAGUAACCUGAUGACCUGCAGAUCUGUUACACAACUAAUACUUUUGAUUUUUAUUGUAGAAAUCAGUGAAGUGCAUCAAUAUCCUAUGGCAUAUUGUCUAACAUUGUUUUCAGCAUGCAAAUCUUUUAAGCCAGAAAUCAGACUUUUGGUUAUAAAUCAAAAGGAAAAUAUAGUAUAUAUAUAUGUUAACCAGCAUGAAGAACUAGAAAGGAAUCAAUAAGGAGAAGAUAAAUGGAUAUCAGAAGGAUUUCUUGUUUAAACUUUGCUUCCUAAGAACUUUGGGAGAUGAUGGUGCUCCAGACAAAGAUAGACAAAAAGUCUAUUGAAGGUUGAAGGAAAAAACUUUCUUAGGGCAAAAAGACAGGAUAAGCAGACGGUCCACAUGCUUAGGAUGUUCAAAGCAGGUGGGUAUAUUAGGGGCUGAGCAAGAAUUUCUACUUGAACACCUCUUCUUACACCACACAAAGUGGUCUCAUAUGCACUGGCAUAUUUUUAUAACAUGGAUGGCAGAAGGCAGCAGCCCCAUCCCAGGCAGCACCAGCCCUGCUACAUCAUGGCCACAUCACCAAGGGCAGCCACCAGGUCCAGGAAUCACCCUGUAGCAGUCCAAGCCAGGUCACAAGAGCUCAGCAAUAUUACUGGCUGUGUUCCAGAAUGAACUUGAUGUCAUGGCAACCUGGAACACAGACCAGAAGGGGAGUGUCAACAAGAGACAACUAACCAGCCACACACAGGGAGAGAGACACAGCAUAACAGGGAAAGAGCAGGAUAUCGAGACACUCCUGUCCUCGACAGCAUUCAUCUCUUGACAAGAGGGCCGCACACUGCAGGACAGGCGUUGCCCUGGUUUGCUGAGCCCUGGUCCCAACGAAGGAGCUGAAAAGGAACCUAAUGAGUGCCAUGAAAAAACACAGACACAGAAAUGGAUGGCAUAACAGCUACCCGGUGAGCACAGUAACACAGGGGAGGGAAGCACAGGGAAGCAGGGCAUGUGGUCUCCAUGCUUCCAUCAAAAACAGAUACGUCAGACACAAAAACUAUUCUUUCCAGAUCCUCAGAGACCCUGUAAACUUUCCGAGAUUUCUCUGUUUCAAAUCCCAAUAUUUUGUACUACCUUGUUGUGCCCUGUCCCCACUGCAGGUGCUAACAGCAAACCUAAUGGUUGCAUUGGUACUUUAAUCACAAGAUUGUGGUAAUGACCUCAGAUGAGCAGCCUGGUGAGCAGCACCAUGCUGGGGAUGGGCAGCACAGGGUAGCAAGGCACGUGGCUGCUCCUAAACUCCUUCUCAUCUGCCUUGCAGAUGGGCACCUCCGCAACGAUGGAGCCAGAGCAGGACCCACACCAACUCUCAGUCCUCUAAGUGGUCUCCAUGCUUACAUCCAAAACAGAUAAGUCAGACACAAAAACUAUUCUAGAUUCUAUGUGAUCCUCAAAACUUUCCAAGAUUCCACUGUUUCAAAUCCCAGCAUUUUGUACUACCUUGUUGUGUCCUGUCCCCACUGCAGGUCCUACCACAAAACCUAAUGGUUGCUAUGGCACUUUCAAGACAAGGAUGUGGUAAUGACUUCAGAUAAGCAGCCAGGUAAGCAGCUCCAUGCUGGGGAAGGGCGGCACAGGAAAGCAGGGCUCGUGGCUGAUUCUAGACUCCUUCCCAUCUGCCUUGCAGAUGGGCAUCUCCGCAAGGAUGGAGCCAGAGCAGGACCCACAGCUACUCUCAACCUUUUAAAUAGUCUCCAUGCUCCCAUCCAAAAAAGAUAAGUCAGACCCAAACACUAUCCUCUCUAGAUCCUAAAG